AACCUUCUACGUACAAUUAGGAUUUAUACCAGGACCCCCGUAGUAGAAGUAACCAUUGUUCUUAUGGUGCACAUUAUAGCAGUUGGCUCCUGUAGCGAAAGUGCGAACCCCUCGAGGAGCUUGAAGUUGGUCGGACUUAUCAACUAUUCGUAUGUUUUUAAAGAAGCUCGCCUUGCCAAAACCUUCUUCUGGGAAAUGGCCACUGCCCAUCUCCGUGGAGGUGUGCUGACCUUUUGAAUAUAAGUUCACAACCUCCCCUCCCCAUUGUAUCUCUGAGGCACUAUCAGACAGAUGAGGGAAUAAGGAAGAAGGCCAGUACCCCACUGGAGAUUGAUUCCCAUACUGCAGCCACCAAUUCCCCAUUUUUGGAUCCU
rnacentral:lncRNA from 1 species